rnacentral:rRNA from 1 species
ACGAACGCUGGCGGCGUGCUUAACACAUGCAAGUCGAACGAAUCAGUAGCAAUAUUGGUUAGUGGCGAACGGGUGAGUAACACGUGACUAAUCUGCCCCGGACUGGGGAAUAACGUCGGGAAACUGACGCUAAUGCCGCAUAUUGAGCGCGGGUGGCAUUACCUGCGCUUGAAAGAUUUAUCGGUCCGGGAUGAGGUCGCGCCCCAUUAGCUUGUUGGUAGGGUAAUGGCCUACCAAGGCGACGAUGGGUAGCUGGUCUGAGAGGAUGAUCAGCCACACUGGGACUGAGAUACGGCCCAGACUCCUAUGGGAGGCAGCAGUGAGGAAUAUUGCGCAAUGGGCGAAAGCCUGACGCAGCAACGCCGCGUGGAGGAUGAAGGUGGUUUCCAUUGUAAACUCCUGUAGGGAGGGACGAACAACCCCGUUUCGCGGGGCGUGGCGGUACCUCCAAAGUAAGCACCGGCUAACUCCGU